UGGCUGACGGGCAGUCGGUGCACCUAUAUAAGGUGCGCGGGAGACCACUGAGAGACAAACGUUCACCUGAGGCCACGACUGAAAUUGAAGUGCUUGGAGGGAAAGGCAGCAAGCGGGACGUGGGCUGAGGAAGAAGUGGAAAAUGAUAGUGAGAAGGAAAGGGCUGGAGCAGUUGUGGAGAAAGUAGUGGAAGAAGCUCUUCAGAAAGGAAGGAGCUGCUGCAGAAGAAGGAAGGAGCGGCGCGUGGAAGUGCGCGACGAGGGAGCAAGGAGAGGAAGCAGGAGGCUGCGCGUGGGGAAAGGGAGAGGCGUUCUGGGCAAAAGCAUUUCCCCGUCCCCGGGGUGUAGUCGUACUGCGAUGGAGCGUGGCCGGCACCGUGGGUGACCCGGCCAGCUGUGUGCUGGGCGACCUCCCUGUAAGCAGGGCUCGGGUCUUUGCUGUAGUUGGCCUUUUGCCUUGUUGCUCCUUUGGCUGCCUGGGGAGCGUGGCCCCCUGUAAGCAGGGUGAGAGCCGCCUCUCCGCACCCGAGUGGGAAACGGAGCUCGCUGGACCCCACGGCCACCCUGUAAGCAGGGCAGUGCCGUUUUCCCCGCCCCUCUUCCUCUGGCCGCUCAGCGCUGUUGCCUGCUGGUGGCCUGUCAGCGUGGCGGCCCUGUACUCGGGGUGUGUGUCACGUCACUUGGCCUUUGGCCUUAGCUGGGAACUCAGCCCCUUGGCACGUUGAGGUCCGUGGCCUCCGUGCGGCCCGGGGACAAACACAGGCUCUUGUCUGUUGCUUGUGGGUGUGGGUUUAUUCCCAGGGAUUGGCUGCGCUGCGUUGUCCUUCCCUUCUGGAAAGCCACGUCUGUGUGUGUGCGUUCCCCUUCCUCUCCUGGUGUUUGUGGAGUGACUGAGCGAUUGAGCUUUCCCUUUAGGUCUCCCUAAAAAUGGCUGCAGCUUAGCUUGGACUUCCCAGGGGGGAAUGGAGGACUUGGUGCAUGCCGCAAGGAGGAGGGGGUGUUCCCUCUUAGUCCCACAAGCGCAGCGAGCGUUCUGUCUUGCCCCUUGUUUGUUUCUUCUUAGACCAGACCGGAGCCUCAUGGUGGUUCCGUGGCCGAGGAUUGCUCUGUAGCCAGGGCUUUGGCCCGUCCCUGCAUGGCCGCCUGUCUUGCUGGCGGCGUGACAGCCCUGUACUCGGGGUGUGUGUCGCAAGUUGUGCCGCCCCUCUUGUCCCCGGAGCAGCCCGCCCCGCCUGUAAUCAGGUCUGGGGUGUCUGCAGUGCUGCAGCGGGCUGCUUUAGCCAUCCAGUUGGUGGGAAUGACCCCUCCCUGGCCUGCUAGAGGGUGCAGGUUGAGGUGCUGCUUUGUGGUUGGGGUGGCCUCCCUGCUGUGCGGGUUGAGGUGGCUCCUGAAGACGUGGUGUUGCGCCGCAGCCGGGCGGGCCGGCCCGUACCUCGGGCGUUGGCGGGAGCCUCGUGCUCCGUGGGGCUUUGUGGAAAUGGCGAGGCGUGGGGUACCGUCCUGUAGGCAGGGCUGCGUGUGCCCCUUCUGUGGGUGCUUGGUGAGGUGUGUUCUGAGGGCCCCCCCUGUACUCAGGCGGGCGUCUGUAGCCUGGGCCUUUAGAGGUGCCGGCAGAGAGAUUAGGGUCCGGGCUUGUGCCCUUGCUGGGAUCGCAGCCUUUGGCUGUGCUGCCCCACUGCCUGGCUGCUGAGAGUCGUUCCUGCUGCUGGGGGGGAAACCGAGCUCUGUGGCCUGCAGGGUGUCACGGACCCGCCUGUAAUCAGGGUCUGGGUUUGGGAGUCUUUGUGCUCUGCUGGCAGCCCGUGCGGGGUGACCGCCCCGUUAGCGGGGUGCGGGUUCACGGCGCCCCAGACUGGGAGAGGAGGAGCCUCCCUUGGCCUGUCUGACCUGGGCUGCCCUGUAAGUCGGGGUCCGGCAGUGCCCUGAGUUCUCAGGCCCUUUGUGAUGGUAGCGGUGCCUGGAGCCCCCUGUAAGCAGGGGAGGUGACUCUUUGGCUGCUGCAUAGCGUGCCCAGCUCAAUUUGCCCAGUCUGCCCGCCCCUGCACCCUGCGCGGCCCCGGCUGGAACUCCACGGCGCAUCAGUGUGGAGCUGCUGCAGAAGAAGGAAGGAGCGGCGCGUGGAAGUGCGCGACGAGGGAGCAAGGAGAGGAAGCAGGAGGCUGCGCGUGGGGAAAGGGAGAGGCGUUCUGGGCAAAAGCAUUUCCCCGUCCCCGGGGUGUAGUCGUACUGCGAUGGAGCGUGGCCGGCACCGUGGGUGACCCGGCCGGCUGUGUGCUGGGCGACCUCCCUGUAAGCAGGGCUCGGGUCUUUGCUGUAGUUGGCCUUUUGCCUUGUUGCUCCUUUGGCUGCCUGGGGAGUGUGGCCCCCUGUAAGCAGGGUGAGAGCCGCCUCUCCGCACCCGAGUGGGAAACGGAGCUCGCUGGACCCCACGGCCACCCUGUAAGCAGGGCAGUGCCGUUUUCCCCGCCCCUCUUCCUCUGGCCGCUCAGCGCUGUUGCCUGCUGGUGGCCUGUCAGCGUGGCGGCCCUGUACUCGGGGUGUGUGUCACGUCACUUGGCCUUUGGCCUUAGCUGGGAACUCAGCCCCUUGGCACGUUGAGGUCCGUGGCCUCCGUGCGGCCCGGGGACAAACACAGGCUCUUGUCUGUUGCUUGUGGGUGUGGGUUUAUUCCCAGGGAUUGGCUGCGCUGCGUUGUCCUUCCCUUCUGGAAAGCCACGUCUGUGUGUGUGCGUUCCCCUUCCUCUCCUGGUGUUUGUGGAGUGACUGAGCGAUUGAGCUUUCCCUUUAGGUCUCCCUAAAAAUGGCUGCAGCUUAGCUUGGACUUCCCAGGGGGGAAUGGAGGACUUGGUGCAUGCCGCAAGGAGGAGGGGGUGUUCCCUCUUAGUCCCACAAGCGCAGCGAGCGUUCUGUCUUGCCCCUUGUUUGUUUCUUCUUAGACCAGACCGGAGCCUCAUGGUGGUUCCGUGGCCGAGGAUUGCUCUGUAGCCAGGGCUUUGGCCCGUCCCUGCAUGGCCGCCUGUCUUGCUGGCGGCGUGACAGCCCUGUACUCGGGGUGUGUGUCGCAAGUUGUGCCGCCCCUCUUGUCCCCGGAGCAGCCCGCCCCGCCUGUAAUCAGGUCUGGGGUGUCUGCAGUGCUGCAGCGGGCUGCUUUAGCCAUCCAGUUGGUGGGAAUGACCCCUCCCUGGCCUGCUAGAGGGUGCAGGUUGAGGUGCUGCUUUGUGGUUGGGGUGGCCUCCCUGCUGUGCGGGUUGAGGUGGCUCCUGAAGACGUGGUGUUGCGCCGCAGCCGGGCGGGCCGGCCCGUACCUCGGGCGUUGGCGGGAGCCUCGUGCUCCGUGGGGCUUUGUGGAAAUGGCGAGGCGUGGGGUACCGUCCUGUAGGCAGGGCUGCGUGUGCCCCUUCUGUGGGUGCUUGGUGAGGUGUGUUCUGAGGGCCCCCCCUGUACUCAGGCGGGCGUCUGUGGCCUGGGCCUUUAGAGGUGCCGGCAGAGAGAUUAGGGUCCGGGCUUGUGCCCUUGCUGGGAUCGCAGCCUUUGGCUGUGCUGCCCCACUGCCUGGCUGCUGAGAGUCGUUCCUGCUGCUGGGGGGGAAACCGAGCUCUGUGGCCUGCAGGGUGUCACGGACCCGCCUGUAAUCAGGGUCUGGGUUUGGGAGUCUUUGUGCUCUGCUGGCAGCCCGUGCGGGGUGACCGCCCCGUUAGCGGGGUGCGGGUUCACGGCGCCCCAGACUGGGAGAGGAGGAGCCUCCCUUGGCCUGUCUGACCUGGGCUGCCCUGUAAGUCGGGGUCCGGCAGUGCCCUGAGUUCUCAGGCCCUUUGUGAUGGUAGCGGUGCCUGGAGCCCCCUGUAAGCAGGGGAGGUGACUCUUUGGCUGCUGCAUAGCGUGCCCAGCUCAAUUUGCCCAGUCUGCCCGCCCCUGCACCCUGCGCGGCCCCGGCUGGAACUCCACGGCGCAUCAGUGUGGAGCUGCUGCAGAAGAAGGAAGGAGCGGCGCGUGGAAGUGCGCGACGAGGGAGCAAGGAGAGGAAGCAGGAGGCUGCGCGUGGGGAAAGGGAGAGGCGUUCUGGGCAAAAGCAUUUCCCCGUCCCCGGGGUGUAGUCGUACUGCGAUGGAGCGUGGCCGGCACCGUGGGUGACCCGGCCGGCUGUGUGCUGGGCGACCUCCCUGUAAGCAGGGCUCGGGUCUUUGCUGUAGUUGGCCUUUUGCCUUGUUGCUCCUUUGGCUGCCUGGGGAGUGUGGCCCCCUGUAAGCAGGGUGAGAGCCGCCUCUCCGCACCCGAGUGGGAAACGGAGCUCGCUGGACCCCACGGCCACCCUGUAAGCAGGGCAGUGCCGUUUUCCCCGCCCCUCUUCCUCUGGCCGCUCAGCGCUGUUGCCUGCUGGUGGCCUGUCAGCGUGGCGGCCCUGUACUCGGGGUGUGUGUCACGUCACUUGGCCUUUGGCCUUAGCUGGGAACUCAGCCCCUUGGCACGUUGAGGUCCGUGGCCUCCGUGCGGCCCGGGGACAAACACAGGCUCUUGUCUGUUGCUUGUGGGUGUGGGUUUAUUCCCAGGGAUUGGCUGCGCUGCGUUGUCCUUCCCUUCUGGAAAGCCACGUCUGUGUGUGUGCGUUCCCCUUCCUCUCCUGGUGUUUGUGGAGUGACUGAGCGAUUGAGCUUUCCCUUUAGGUCUCCCUAAAAAUGGCUGCAGCUUAGCUUGGACUUCCCAGGGGGGAAUGGAGGACUUGGUGCAUGCCGCAAGGAGGAGGGGGUGUUCCCUCUUAGUCCCACAAGCGCAGCGAGCGUUCUGUCUUGCCCCUUGUUUGUUUCUUCUUAGACCAGACCGGAGCCUCAUGGUGGUUCCGUGGCCGAGGAUUGCUCUGUAGCCAGGGCUUUGGCCCGUCCCUGCAUGGCCGCCUGUCUUGCUGGCGGCGUGACAGCCCUGUACUCGGGGUGUGUGUCGCAAGUUGUGCCGCCCCUCUUGUCCCCGGAGCAGCCCGCCCCGCCUGUAAUCAGGUCUGGGGUGUCUGCAGUGCUGCAGCGGGCUGCUUUAGCCAUCCAGUUGGUGGGAAUGACCCCUCCCUGGCCUGCUAGAGGGUGCAGGUUGAGGUGCUGCUUUGUGGUUGGGGUGGCCUCCCUGCUGUGCGGGUUGAGGUGGCUCCUGAAGACGUGGUGUUGCGCCGCAGCCGGGCGGGCCGGCCCGUACCUCGGGCGUUGGCGGGAGCCUCGUGCUCCGUGGGGCUUUGUGGAAAUGGCGAGGCGUGGGGUACCGUCCUGUAGGCAGGGCUGCGUGUGCCCCUUCUGUGGGUGCUUGGUGAGGUGUGUUCUGAGGGCCCCCCCUGUACUCAGGCGGGCGUCUGUGGCCUGGGCCUUUAGAGGUGCCGGCAGAGAGAUUAGGGUCCGGGCUUGUGCCCUUGCUGGGAUCGCAGCCUUUGGCUGUGCUGCCCCACUGCCUGGCUGCUGAGAGUCGUUCCUGCUGCUGGGGGGGAAACCGAGCUCUGUGGCCUGCAGGGUGUCACGGACCCGCCUGUAAUCAGGGUCUGGGUUUGGGAGUCUUUGUGCUCUGCUGGCAGCCCGUGCGGGGUGACCGCCCCGUUAGCGGGGUGCGGGUUCACGGCGCCCCAGACUGGGAGAGGAGGAGCCUCCCUUGGCCUGUAUGACCUGGGCUGCCCUGUAAGUCGGGGUCCGGCAGUGCCCUGAGUUCUCAGGCCCUUUGUGAUGGUAGCGGUGCCUGGAGCCCCCUGUAAGCAGGGGAGGUGACUCUUUGGCUGCUGCAUAGCGUGCCCAGCUCAAUUUGCCCAGUCUGCCCGCCCCUGCACCCUGCGCAGCACCGGCUGGAACUCCACGGCGCAUCAGUGUGGAGCUGCUGCAGAGGAAAGGAAUAAUGAUGCCUGGAAAUUCGUGAGAAGAAGCACGUGGGGGCGCAAGGAAAUGACAGCCAUAUCAUGUUAGUUGUAGCCGUGUUUUGGUUCAAGGUUUUAGCUUUAAAUAACGGUAAUAAGAGAAUUUGGCUGCUCUGUACCUCUUUUUUUUUCCUUUUUGAUUAAAUAUGUUUUCGUCAUAGUUGUUUGUCAUUAUUGUUUCUGUUUUUUUUGUAGUUAUUCUUUUCAAGUUUGUGGUUUUAGUCUUACUUUGUUUUUCUUCACCUAGGAACUUGGGCUGUUUUCCCUGUCUUUUGAAUGGGGGCCUUUGGUUAUCUGUGCCUGCUGUCUUUGCUUGCUGAAUGAGUUUUCUCUACUCUUCUCCCUUUGGGUUUUUUCAGUGUUGUUUAUGAAGUGCUGGGUUUUUUUUCUUCUUUAUUUGCUAAAGUGGGUGUGCUCAUGGGUGGAUACAGGUUUCUGAGUCCUUGUGAUUUGUAUCUGUGUUAUGUCUGCUGCUUUUUUUUUUUUUCUUUCCUCUCAUUCGUUUUUGGUUUUUUAUUGUUUUGCACCUUCUGAGAGGAUUAACUUCAUCUGUUGUUUGUUUUCUGGUUUUUUUUUUUAUUUAACUUUGCCGGUAACUUAUUUUAUUAAGAUCUGGGUAGGGGGGAAGGAAAAAAAGAAAUUAAGUUUAGCUUAUGGUUUGAGACAUCUG